UUGAAGCAAAUGUUCCCGUAUGAUCACAGAAGUUAAGCAACGUGGAGCCUGAUCAAUACUUAAAUGGAUAAUUACUUGGGAAUACCAGGUGCUGUAAG